GCCAAGUGAUUGGAGAAGAACUUCUGAUGUAUAUGAUCUCAUAGGUUCGAACCUAAGUCGAUAGCAUAGAAACUGAUUUCUGUACCAAUCGGAGUAACCAUCUAGCAAUGAUAUCUGACGUCUAGAUAGGCCAAAUGUAUACUAAGCAACACUCAAGAACCUAUUUGAAUAUAGUUACUGUAUAAUUCAUCUCUUUGAUCCAAAUGC
rnacentral:lncRNA from 1 species